rnacentral:rRNA from 1 species
UACGUAGGGUGCAAGCGUUAAUCGGAAUUACUGGGCGUAAAGCGUGCGCAGGCGGUCUUGUAAGUCUGUCGUGAAAUCCCCGGGCUCAACCUGGGAAUUGCGAUGGAGACUGCAAGGCUAGAAUCUGGCAGAGGGGGGUAGAAUUCCACGUGUAGCAGUGAAAUGCGUAGAGAUGUGGAGGAACACCGAUGGCGAAGGCAGCCCCCUGGGUCAAGAUUGACGCUCAUGCACGAAAGCGUGGGGAGCAAACAGG